AUACGGAGGAUCCGAGCGUUAUCCGGAUUUAUUGGGUUUAAAGGGAGCGUAGGCGGAUUAUUAAGUCAGUUGUGAAAGUUUGCGGCUCAACCGUAAAAUUGCAGUUGAUACUGGUAGUCUUGAGUGCAGCAGAGGUAGGCGGAAUUCGUGGUGUAGCGGUGAAAUGCUUAGAUAUCACGAAGAACUCCGAUUGCGAAGGCAGCUUACUGGACUGUAACUGACGCUGAUGCUCGAAAGUGUGGGUAUCAAACAGGAUUAGAUACCCUGGUAGUCCACACGGUAAACGAUGAAUACUCGCUGUUUGCGAUAUACUGCAAGCGGCCAAGCGAAAGCGUUAAGUAUUCCACCUGGGGAGUACGCCGGCAACGGUGAAACUCAAAUGAAUUGACGGGG
rnacentral:rRNA from 1 species